AACAUCGCGCACCUGCGGGAACCUGCGGAAGGAUCAUUACAGGACUCGCAAGACUCCUUAAACCCCUGUGAACUUACUGUUUAUACGUUGCUUCGGCGGGUGCUCCGGGGUCCGCCCCGGGGCGCUGCGCCCGCCGGCAGCCUACUUAAUUCUGUUUCUCUGCGUUGGCAUCUCGAGUAAGCAAAAUAAGUUAAAACUUUCAACAACGGAUCU
rnacentral:misc_RNA from 1 species